rnacentral:lncRNA from 1 species
AAUUUAAUUUUCGUAGUGUAAAAGCUAAAUAUAUUCAUACAUACUUUAAAGCAGAGAACUGAAGUAUAAAAUUACUUUUACAGUGGCACAUGGGCCCCCAACUAACCAAUAAGGUGCGAGUCUGUGAGUCUACAAUUUUGUCGAUGCAAGGCUAACUGAAGUCCUUAAUGCAAUCGACUAUCUACCAGCUAUCCCGACCCUGAAAUGUGGGGAAUUGAGGGUGGUGAGAUUAUAAAAUCUCAGUGAGUAAACAAUUACCAUCAAAAACAUCUAAACUCGAGUAGAUGGAGACAAUAUAAAAAAAAAAGCGUUAUAUUUCAAUAAUGUUCAUAACGCAAAAUUCGUUUCGAUCUAUACCAAAUAAUUUCUUUUCAUCAAAAUUUCUCUGGCUUAUGAGUUUCUUAAACUUGGCCCCUGCCAGAAUCAUUCUCGCAGGUACCUUCGUCAAGGUAUGUUCAAUGACCCGUACCCAUAAACAUGUUUUCACAUUUGACACACAGCCGUUCCUUGGCGUUGGCUGAGUCUCACUCUCAUGUGGUGGCUCGAAUGUGAGGUGCACUCAAAUCAUACCUCAGGAGAUACUUCACCCAACAUCUCCCCCUGGAGGUAAGUAUAUAAUUGAGUUACCGUGCCCCUCUCAUAGGCAGUCCACGGAAACCCCCACCACUGCAGUGACCGUUUAAUAUACCACUAGACCUAUAAAAAUUCUAGUAGCAUAAUAUGGUGAAUAAAAUGUAAUCCAGUCUACCGAGACCAAUCCAAAACUAUUCAUAUAUUUCAUGCCAACCCCAAAAAUUUAGCCAUCAUGCUACCAUAGUGUCAUAAGCCCCAAUUUCAAUAACAUAUAAAAUCAAAAAUUUCAACACAGUCUCCAUAUACUCAAUUUUCCCAAAACAAUAUUUGAUUUCAAAACCAGUAUAAAUCUCAUUUUUAUUAAAAAAAUAUUUUAAUUAGAAUACAUAAUAUUUUAUAAUUUAAGCUCACCAUUCAAUAAAAGCAUCAAACAAGUAUAAUAACUCUAGAUAUUUAAGACGAUAAGUUGUCCACUCACAGUUUUAUGAGUCGAUGUACUCC